rnacentral:rRNA from 1 species
UUCCAGACGCGGACUGACCUGCAGUCGACGGUAACAGGAAGCAGCUUGCUUCUUUGCUGACGAGUGGCGGACGGGUGAGUAAUGUCUGGGAAACUGCCUGAUGGAGGGGGAUAACUACUGGAAACGGUAGCUAAUACCGCAUAACGUCGCAAGACCAAAGAGGGGGACCUUCGGGCCUCUUGCCAUCGGAUGUGCCCAGAUGGGAUUAGCUUGUUGGUGGGGUAACGGCUCACCAAGGCGACGAUCCCUAGCUGGUCUGAGAGGAUGACCAGCCACACUGGAACUGAGACACGGUCCAGACUCCUACGGGAGGCAGCAGUGGGUAAUAUUGCACAAUGGGCGCAAGCCUGAUGC